rnacentral:rRNA from 1 species
AUUGAACGCUGGCGGCAGGCCUAACACAUGCAAGUCGAACGAGUGGCGGACGGGUGAGUAAUGUCUGGGAAACUGCCUGAUGUAGGGGGAUAACUACUGGAAACGGUAGCUAAUACCGCAUACCAUCGGAUGUGCCCAGAUGGGAUUAGCUAGGAGGUGGGGUAACGGCCCGCCUACGCGACGAUCCCUAGCUGGUCGGAGAGGAUGGCAAGCCACACUGGAACUGAGACACGGUCCAGACUCCUAUGGUAGGCAGGAGUGGAGAAUAUUGCACAAUGGGAGCAAGCCUGAUGUAGCCAUGCCGCGUGUAUGAAGAAGGCCUUCGGCUUGUAAAGUACUUUCAGCGGGAAAGCGUUACCCUAAGAAGAAGCACCGGCUAACUCCGUGCCAGCAGCCGCGGUAAUAC